GGAGUUGGCCAGGCAGUCGCUCUGCGCAAGCAGGGAGGAAAGUCCGGGCUUCAUAGGGUAAAGUGCCAGGUAACGCCUGGGGGGCGUGAGCCUACGGAUAGUGCAGCAGAAAGGAAACCGCCUAAGUCUACUGGUAGACCGGUAAGGGUGAAACGGUGCGGUAAGAGCGCACCGCGUGUACGGUAACGUAUCACGGCGAUGGUAAACCCCACUUGAAGCAAGACCAAAUAGAGAAGUAGCAACGUAAGUUGCAACGUGUGGCCCACACGGCUUCUGGGUAGGUCGCUCGAGGUGCAUAGUGAUAUGCAUCCCAGAUGAAUGACUGUCCUCGACAGAACCCGGCUUAUCGGCCAACUCCACUU
rfam:Cycloclasticus sp. P1, complete genome.